UUCAGGUUAAGAUGCUGAGUAGAGCUUAGUGCUCCUCAGAUGUAGGUAAUGAAAAGAACUACAAGUUAUAGGGAACAGGAAAAAGCAGUGUAGCAAGCUUAUCCAGAAGUUUUUUCAGUCAAGCCUAUUUCAUUCUUGUGGUUCUCUAGCCAUCAAGAAUUCUGGACAUACUUUCCAUUCAUCAGUAUAUGAUGUUUCCAUAUAUCAUCAGCUUAACAAGCACACAUUCUCUGCUGCCAACAGUACCAAUUUGUCAACCAAGCAACAAAUAUUCCUUGGUAAUCUGCUAUCAGAUAACAGUUUUCUCGUUGGCAUUUUUAUGAAUUAAAGCUUUCAAGGCUUAAGUAAGACUUACUUUUUUUUUCUUUGACUGCUAAUUCUAAAAUAAUUUAUCAUUGCAUGUUAAAAAUAAUAAAGAACUUUUUAUACAUAUUUCUCUACCAUUUUUCAGUGUUUUGGUCACGUUUCAGAUUUGUUUAGCAUAAUCCUGUACUACAUAUUAACAAAUGUUUGGUGUGUCUAGUUCAUCUCUCUCACUAUGAAGAUGGCUACACACUAUCAGCAAUGCACCCCUAUGAUAUACAAGUCUUCAUUGCCAAGUCACUCUGCCAAACAGUGUGUACACCUUUCUUGCAGUGGUAGUACUUUACUGUACUUCAAUCACUUCAGGAGUCUGGAUAUGUCAGCCCAAGGCCAAGGAGAUCAAGUUUGUGUCCAAGGUUACUUAGGUAAUUCUCUGAGAACAAUAGGUUGUUUUUUUUAAAGACAGACACUACAUGUUGCUGAUCUGUGGGUUAGUGGCUCAAUCAUUGUGCACUGAUUCUCCACUGAUGCCUUGAUUGCCAUAAGUUUAUCUACUGAUCUACAGAUCAAGGGACUAAAUGGUCUAUUAAACAUGAGGUCAAGGAAAAAGGAUGAACAUUUCAAGGCUGCAGGAGGAACAUUAAACAUCUCUCUCACUGUGAAAAGAUUCUACCAAUCUACAAAUGAUCAACAUGUUUUAUCUAAAGUUCAUCUGCCAUUUCUUCAAAUGGAGCCAUAGUCAGAAUAAGGUUGAAAUGUAUCAGUUGUUUUUGUUGACAGAUAUCAAGUCAUUUCAGUUCUCAAUUAUUUUGUGCACCAAGUUACAAGAAAAAAUUUAAGCAAGAGAGGUCACUACACUAAGACUUUGUCUUCUCAUAAGAAAGGAUGGCUGCCUGGUCAUGUGAUAUGUGCACUGGACUGUGUAUGGUCAUCUUGAUGCUCAUAUCUUGCCUGAUGACAUUUAUUCUGCUGAACAUUUGGUCAAGGAAGUAGAUUCUCUUCAGCUCUCAAGAAACAUUCAAAACAUGUCAAACAUUCGACAAGAAUAUCAAGUGCAAUGUACAUACCAACAUGAUGAAAAGGUAGGCAACAUGAAGAUGUAGACCAACAUGAUGAAGAUGUAGACCAACAUGAAGAUGUAGACCAGCAUGAUGAAGAUGUAGACCAACAUGAAGAUGAAAUGUAAACCAAAAAAUGGGUCAAGAGAUGUAUGGAAUACAAUGUGAACAUCUUGAGAAGUAAAACAAUUCCUAGAGGCAAAGACACAGACACACCGGAUCUAUUAGAGAUUUUCCUUUUCUACCAUCAUUUAGAGACUUCCUUGUGCUCUAAGGGAACCUGUCAUUAUCUUUUGAUUGCUAAUUGGCAUUGAUGUUUUUACAUUCCUACUGCGUCUGAAAGAAAUUAACAUUUCCCUAAUGCUACUUCAAAACCAGACCUUCUCAAGACAAUUUUAGUGACCAAGCUGCAAUAUGGGACUCAGUAGGAAACAAUGAAGAAUGCUCCUAACCUCACCUACUAGAGUGGCGACAAAUACUUCUACACCCACAGUUAUACAUCCUGAACCCUGUAACCCAACCUCACAACAUGGUUACAUUACGGGAAGUGGUCGCAAGGUCAGAAAACCUAACAGAUACAAUGGAUAGAACAAUGAACAGGUACAAGUACUCAAGUGAUGUACUUAGUGAGAACUAUUUAGGUGGAAUCACCAUAAUUGACUUGUAUAAAUCUUGUUCUAUAUUUAGGUAUAUCUUGACAAUCAGUCCAGUCAUUUGUUCAUUUUUUUUUUAAAUAUUCCUUUUUUUUCCCUCAAUCUUCUUGUUGUUUCAGUUACAUUGUUUUUGUAUUUUGAAGGAGGAAGGUGCUUUGGUAUAUUAUCGUUUUUAUUAUUGUACCAGUAUUAAGCAAACUUGUAUAUCUUUAAUUAUUCAUUAAUUCUAAAGCAGAACGUCACUUCCACCGGAAAAUGUUGUAACAACUAUACGUGUCUUCAGUUAACAUUCAAUACUCUGUACAGUCACAACGCCAAAGCCUUGCUAGAUUAUGCUUUUAAUUCAAUUUGUUAUCUCCCCUGCUUUAGUGUGCUAUCAUAUAAUUUUUUGUGUCACAUCCCUGCACAAUUUUUUUACAGUAUAAAUAGCGACUUAAUUUAGCUCUAUUAUAAUAUUGUUAUAUUAUUAUAUUUAAAAUAAAACUGUUAACAUAUUCUAUGCUGUUAUAAUAUAAAUGUUUUGCUGUUACCAUGAAUACAGUUUUGAGUUUUUGUCUGAUUUCUUAGAGGAGAAAUUUUUCAUAAAUAAUAAUAAUAAGGCUUAUCUUCAAGUCCGAAGAUUAGUGAGAAGUAUGCAGUAUUCCCCAGCUAGGACCUACAUAUUUUGCUAUAAAUAAAGAGUAUAAUAAUAUUUACUACUUGGUAUUGUCAGUCUUCUCUAAAGCAAUGAGUUUAUCCCCUUAGUGUGUUUAAAAUUUUCAAAUACUAAUUCACUUUGUAUUAUCUAUUGGUGAUCAUGGGGUAUCCACUUUGUCAUCUCCAUAGUCUCUGGUGUUAACACUCACUGUCCUGUUGGAGGUUACGGCUAAGAUGUUAUCUCUCUUUCUGAUGGAACACAUGUAAAACCAACAAAACAAACAUUAGACCUAGACUUUAUUAACAGGUAAAUUUUUAUAAUUGUGAACUGGCGCUCCCAAAGCUACUUUUAUGUAUUUUAAAUUUUAUUUCUGUAGGCUAGUGCUAAGCUGUAUACUUGUAUUUCUGCCUAUUAUAUGGGUUAGGGUGGAGUACUUAAAAUAGAGCCUAUGCUGUUUCCUGUACUGUUGACCAGUGGUCUCUGUGUCAGUUUUAAUUAUUCUGUACCUGGGACUGCCUGUAAGUUUCAGAAUUUUUAUAUAUUUUUAAAAAUUUUACUAUGUGUAAAUCUACUUUAUAUUUUGAACAACUGUCAAAAUAACUGGCAGUUUGUUUUCUAAAAUGUGAAAGUUUGUUUUAAAAAUUUGGCCAAGCCCUGCCCAGUGCUGUCAUGAUGGCCACUUCUAAUGUUUAUGUACUAGAUUGUAACUGCUGCCUUAGUCAUUGAAAUUAAAGUCUCAUUUUUGAAUUUC